rnacentral:rRNA from 1 species
GUGGGGAAUCUUCCGCAAUGGACGAAAGUCUGACGGAGCAACGCCGCGUGAGUGAAGAAGGUUUUCGGAUCGUAAAGCUCUUUCGUUAGGGACGAACGUGCUCUUUGUGAAUAAUGAGGAGUAAUGACGGUACCUAAAUAAGAAGCCACGGCUAACUACGUGCCAGCAGCCGCGGUAAUACGUAGGUGGCAAGCGUUGUCCGGAAUUAUUGGGCGUAAAGCGCGCGCAGGCGGGAUAUCAAGUCUGUCUUAAGAGUGCGAGGCUCAACCUCGUGAGGGGACAGAAACUGGUAUUCUUGAGUGUCGGAGAGGAAAGUGGAAUUCCAAGUGUAGCGGUGAAAUGCGUAGAGAUUUGGAAGAACACCAGUGGCGAAGGCGACUUUCUGGACGAUGUCUGACGCUGAGGCGCGAAAGCUAGGGGAGCGAACGGGAUUAGAUACCCCAGUAGUCC